AGGACCAUUAAUUCAUCUACAUUCCAUAUAUCAAUUACACUUUUCCUUCUCCUUGUACAAGAAGCACUAUGAUCACAAAUAACUACAUCCUUAAUGAAUCAGAAUUCCGUUUCAAGAACAUUAUACAUAUUAUAGAUUGUACUGUAUCAUUGCUACGCUAAAUCUACAAUUCAAAGAUUUUAAGAACCGUUGAUACAUUUGCCGUCCUUAUAAGACCCCCAAACUAUAACUUUCUUCUCCUUCUUCAUGAAGCAAGCACUAUGAUCACCACAAAACGUAUCUACAUAAAGUUUUGAAUCCAUUUCAAAGAGAACAUCAUCCAUUCCAUUUGAGGAAAUGAGAUCUAGUCCUACAAGGCUGUCUGAAUCAUAUUGUUGCUAAGUAAAUCUACAAUUCAAAGAAUGCAUGCAAUAAAAUCAAUUCCAACAAGGCAGAUCGGCUUAUAUCAUUG
rnacentral:lncRNA from 1 species